rnacentral:rRNA from 1 species
AACCUGGUUGAUCCUGCCAGUAGUCAUAUGCUUGUCUCAAAGACUAAGCCAUGCAUGUCUAAGUAUAAAUGCUAUACAAUGAAACUGCGAAUGGCUCAUUAAAACAGUUAUAGUUUAUAUGGUAAUCGAAUUUACAUGGAUAACCGUGGUAAUUCUAGAGCUAAUACAUGCUGUUAAGCCCAACUUAUGGAAGGGCCGUAUUUAUUAGAUAACAGACCAAUAUUCUUCGUGUCUAUUGUGGUGAAUCAUAGUAACUAAUCGGAUCGUAUGGGCUAGUCCCUCGACAAACCAUUCAAGUUUCUGCCCCAUCAGCUUUCGAUGGUAGUGUAUUGGACUACCAUGGCUUUCACGGGUAACGGAGGACUAGGGUUCGAUUCCGGAGAGGGAGCCUGAGAAACGGCUACCACAUCUAAGGAAGGCAGCAGGCGCGUA